rnacentral:misc_RNA from 1 species
GAUGAAGAACGCAGCGAAACGCGAUAUGUAAUGUGAAUUGCAGAAUUCAGUGAAUCAUCGAAUCUUUGAACGCACAUUGCGCCCCCUGGCAUUCCGGGGGGCAUGCCUGUCCGAGCGUCAUUGCUGCCCUUCAAGCCCGGCUUGUGUGUUGGGUCGUCGUCCCCCCCGGGGGACGGGCCCGAAAGGCAGCGGCGGCACCGCGUCCGGUCCUCGAGCGUAUGGGGCUUUGUCACCCGCUCGAUUAGGGCCGGCCGGGCGCCAGCCGGCGUCUCCAACCUUCUAUUUUACCAGGUUGACCUCGGAUCAGGUAGGGAUACCCGCUGAACUUAAGCAUAUCAAUAAGCGGAGGA